CCUCCUUUCUUGGCAUACGCGGUGUUUUCCGUACACGUGUGUGUAUGUGAUGGAGGAAAAUCAAAGUCCAGUGCUAUGUCUUCGGUGCCAGAAAGUCCACCAUGUUCUGGUUCUAUCCUCAAUCACUGGUACAUUC
ensembl:snoRNA small nucleolar RNA SNORA57